rnacentral:sRNA from 1 species
CCAGCUGCACGGCGUCGCUGGGCGGCGUGAACGGCGUCACGGUCGGGGGCUCGCGCGGCAUCACGGUGCCCGGCGUGCAGCCAACGGUGGGCAAUCCGCAAUCUGUGUGCUCGAGUCUGAGCACGGCGGCGUGUCACGGGUUGCAGGUGGGGUAUUGUACGGCGUUUAGGGAUGGGAUAGGAUCUGGAGGGGUUGUUGCGGCGAGAGGGAAAGGGUUGGUGUAUGAUAUUGUAGCCGGGGUUGUGGUUGCGGUUGCGGGAAUGGUUGUUUAAAUUCGCCCUGUUGGAAUUUUUCUUCAUUUCUUGCUUUCUUACUUUCUCUUUUUUUCUUUUCUUUUUUUUCCCGCAAAUUGUUUUCUUCUUUCUAUAUUAUGGGUUUACUUUAUAUAAUUUUUUUAGGUUUGUUGCUGUUGCAUCUGCUUUUUCCAUUUUGGGUUGACAGCUGGUUUGACAAAAGCGGCUUAUGGCGCUUCUUUUCGUUUCCUUUUUCUUUUCGCCUCUCUCUUCCCAAUGAUGGGAACCAUGAAUGACCUUCCUUGUAUAUGAGUAGUAUAUGAUCUAGUUGUAUCAAGAAAUCUUUUCCCCAAG